rnacentral:rRNA from 1 species
GACGAACGCUGGCGGCGUGCCUAAUACAUGCAAGUAGAACGCUGAAGGAGGAGCUUGCUUCUCUGGAUGAGUUGCGAACGGGUGAGUAACGCGUAGGUAACCUGCCUGGUAGCGGGGGAUAACUAUUGGAAACGAUAGCUAAUACCGCAUAAGAGUAGAUGUUGCAUGACAUUUACUUAAAAGGUGCAAUUGCAUCACUACCAGAUGGACCUGCGUUGUAUUAGCUAGUUGGUGAGGUAACGGCUCACCAAGGCAACGAUACAUAGCCGACCUGAGAGGGUGAUCGGCCACACUGGGACUGAGACACGGCCCAGACUCCUACGGGAGGCAGCAGUAGGGAAUCUUCGGCAAUGGACGGAAGUCUGACCGAGCAACGCCGCGUGAGUGAAGAAGGUUUUCGGAUCGUAAAGCUCUGUUGUAGAGAAGAACGAGUGUGAGAGUGGAAAGUUCACACUGUGACGGUAUCUUACCAGAAAGGGACGGCUAACUACGUG